AGUCUAUUCAGAGGAACCUGUCCUGUAAUUGAUAAUCCACGAUGUACCUCACUUAAAUUUGUUUUUCAGUUUAUAUACCGUCGUUAUCAGAAUAUUUUAUUAGAAUAAUAAUUUUCUAUAAUUUUUAUAAGAAUUUAUAUCAGAUCAAGGUGUAGCUUAUGUUUAAGUAGAGAUGGGUUACAAUAAAUUUAUUUAAACGGAUCUAAUUUUGAAAUGUUUAGUGAAGGUGGAUUUGAUAGUAAAAUUUUAAAGAUUAUUAAUUUGAUUUUAGCUCUAGAAUAUGCACACAUCGCCCGUCGCUCUUGCUAUUAAGGCAAGAUAAGUCGUAACAUAGUAGAUGUACCGGAAGGUGUAUCUAGAAUGA
rnacentral:rRNA from 1 species